rnacentral:rRNA from 1 species
AAUACCGGAUAAUCUUCCGAAUGCUACGGCUUUUGGAAUUAAAGGGGGCCUCUACAUGUAAGCUCCUGUUUGAAGAUGAGCCCGCGUCCCAUCAGCUAGUUGGUAGGGUAACGGCCUACCAAGGCGAUGACGGGUAGGGGGCCUGAGAGGGUGGCCCCCCACAAUGGUACUGAAACACGGACCAUACACCUACGGGUGGCAGCAGUAGGGAAUAUUGCCCAAUGGACGAAAGUCUGAGGCAGCAACGCCGCGUGCGCGAUGAAGGCCUUCGGGUUGUAAAGCGCUUUUACGUGGGAAGAGGAAGGACGGUACCACGUGAAUAAGGAUCGGCCAACUACGUGCCAGCAGCCGCGGUAACACGUAGGAUUCAAACGUUAUCCGGAUUUAUUGGGCGUAAAGCGCGUGUAGGCGGUUUGGUAAGUUGGAUGUGAAAGUUCCAGGCUCAACCUGGAGAGGUCAUUCAAAACUGCCAGACUAGAGGACGGUAGAGGGAGGUGGAAUUCCGGGUGUAGCGGUGAAAUGCGUAGAUACCCGGAGGAACACCAGUGGCGAAGGCGGCCUCCUGGGCCGUUCCUGACGCUCAGACGCGAAAGCUAGGGUAGCGAACGGGAUUAGAAACCCCGGUAGUCCUAGCCGUAAACGAUGUAGACUUGGUGUUGGUGGGGUAAAAGCCAUCAGUGCCGUAGCUAACGCGAUAAGUCUACCGCCUGGGGAUUACGACCGCAAGGUUAAAACUCAAAGGAAUUGACGGGUCCCCGCACAAGCAGCGGAGCGUGUGGUUUAAUUCGAUGCUACGCGAA